GUGAAUGGGCUCUACAGAAAUUCAUUAGAGGAGUCAUGUGCGCUUGAAAAGGUAUCUUUCAACCUUCAAAGCAGACAGAUAUUAAUAUUGCAUCUAAAGAAAAACUACUUCAGUCUCGCUACACUUAAUGUACUCUUGUCCUCAAUAAUGAAGAGAAAGGUCUUAACUUUAUGAUCCCAUAUGGCCUAGUCAAGAGAAACGUUGAAACUCUUUAUCAUUUGAGAAAGGUCUUAUAACAUAUGAUUAUUAAUGUUAUACAGGUAACAACAGAAGAUAAUAUGAGAGAAGCAUAUGAGUAUCACCUAUUGUUAGUAUUAUCUGCUGAGGUCUUAUCUCUGCCAUCAUCAUUGGCCCUUGCCACUGUCAUCUAUUAACAUGAGGGCCAAUGAAGCCUCUUGGUACGUCUCCAGAGCUAAUGACGUUUCUGUCAAUCUCACCUCCACGGUUGAAAAACAUAGGGCUGACUUCUAUUCUGAAAAAGGAUUGAUGAAUUAGCCAUUUUAGAAGAAUAUAGACACCGCCUUGCAGAGAUCGAAGAAGAAAAAGACUCUUCGAUUCAUUGUGGAAGAAACACCAAACCCUAAAAUUUUUUUGCGGCUGGUCUCGAUGUCUAUGAAACGCAGAGUUUAAGAUAGCCCCUUACUGAAACGCUGAGUUUUGUUUACAGAGGACACGUGUCGCCUGGACAGAAGCAAACUUUGUGAUCUGGAAUCUGACGUGUCUCUCUCCUGAGACAACACAACUUUAUAAUAAUAGAUAGAUAUAUAAAGUUGUCUACUCUCGAGAGAGACAAAGGAGUGGAAUCGAGCUCUCCUGGAGAAGCUACUACCAAAGCUAUCUGAACACAUCCUGAUGCUACGACCACUGUCUGGACACAAACAAAGAACGACAUUUACUCAGCAAGAUCAGGUUAUCACACUACCCAAGUCUCUAAUAU
rnacentral:lncRNA from 1 species